rnacentral:rRNA from 1 species
AACCCCUCGUUAUCAGUUGCCAUCGGGUAGAGCCGGGGACGUCUGAUAAGACUGCCUGCGCAAGCAGAGAGGAAGGAGGGACGACGUCAAGUCAUCAUGGCCCUUACGCCCAGGGCGACACACGUGCUACAAUGGCGCAUACAGCGGGUAGCUACCUGGCAACAGGAUGCCAACCUCUAAAAGUGCGUCUCAGUUCGGAUUGGGGUCUGCAACCCGACCCCAUGAAGCUGGAAUCGCUAGUAAUCGCGCAUCAGCCAUGGCGCGGUGAAUACGUUCCCGGACCUU